AUGAACGCUGGCGGCGUGCCUAAUACAUGCAAGUCGAACGAGGUGCUUUUGUAGCAAUACGAAAGUAUCCUAGUGGCGAACGGGUGAGUAACGCGUUGGUGACCUACCCCAAAGUGUGGGAUAACAGUUCGAAAGAACUGCUAAUACCGCAUGUGGUUAUCGGGUUUAGAAACUGAUAACUAAAGGAGCAAUUCGCUUUGGGAGGGACCUGCGUCCCAUCAGCUAGUUGGUGAGGUAAUGGCUUACCAAGGCGACGAUCAGUAGUUGGUCUGAGAGGACGACCAGCCACACUGGGACUGAGACACGGCCCAGACUCCUACGGGAGGCAGCAGUGGGGAAUUUUGGACAAUGGGCGCAAGCCUGAUCCAGCAAUGCCGCGUGAGUGAAGAAGGCCUUCGGGUUGUAAAGCUCUUUCAGUUGAAAAGAAAAAGCCGUGACUAAUAAUCAUGGUUCAUGACGGUAUCAACAGAAGAAGCACCGGCUAACUACGUGCCAGCAGCCGCGGUAAUACGU
rnacentral:rRNA from 1 species